UGUUUAAGUUUAUGAUUUGACAAGGGAUCUUUGUUAUUGAGUAGAGACUUUGAUUUUGGAGAUAGAUAUUGAAAUUGGAAUGCUUGCUAACUGGGCUCGUAGCCAAAGUGUGGAUCAGCUAUGUUGGGCGUCCUCUCGGUGGAUAUUUCAGGUUAUGAUUAAUUGGAUUUUGACCAAAAUUUAAUGAAAGAGGAUUGAUCAUGGAAUAUUAUCAUACAAUGUAAUUAUUUGUUUAUUAGUCAAUUUGGAAGUUCAUUUUAAUAUAGGGGUAUAUUGUAAUAUUACUUCUAGCUUGAAGUUAAUCAUUAUGUGGCAAGUUUGGAUCUCUUCAUAAGAAAUUGUUUAAGAUUUAAGCUAUAAAAGAUUUUUAUGCUACCUAUUUAGAAUACUCUUCGAGGUUUGAACAUGUUUGGGGAGUAUGAAUGAAACUCUUAUGUUGAAGAAAAAUAUAUUGGAUACUCUUCGAGGUUUGAACAUGUAUGAAUGAAACUCUUAUGUUGAAGAUUGUGAGUUAUUGCAAAUAGGUUAUUUUCUUAUUUAAGAAUUGAUGUUAUUGUAUUCAUCUUGGUGGAAUUACUAAUAAUUUUAAUUAUCGUCUUUGGAUCCAAAUAAUAGAUCUUAUUCAUGUUUAUCGGGACUGUAUGAUGUAUAUGGAAUUUCAAUUCAAAGUUUGGAAUUAUAAGUUAAUCUAGGGUCUUUUGUCAAUAUUGUUGAGGUUAUUUUGAAACCUAAAUUUGAAGACUUAGAUGGUUAUGACGGAAGAUCUUUGAGGUUUGACUCAUUUGUGUUGAAUUAAAGUCUUGUAAUUUGGUGGAGCCUAGUUAUAAGAAUUUGACUUAGAAAAUUAAGUAACGCCCAUAUGAUGAUUUCUAAGGUUAUAAGAGUUUGAUUUGGAAUCGUUCAGUUGAAUUGAUAAAAGAAUUAAGAUUCAAUACAUUUUGGGAAUUACAGUAACGAGCCCAUAUGAUGAUUUUGAAUGGAACAAUUGACUUGAGAGUUAAUCUGGAUUAGAUGUAUUCAAUAAUCAAAUAUUCUUUCUUUUAGGCUUUACUUGGAAAUUGAAAAUAUGGAUCUCUUUAGUUCAUAAUACAAGUAGUAUUUUAAUCAAAACUUAUUAGUGAAUCCAAGGAUUUUAGUGUUUUGAAUCAGAGUGCGCAGCGAAAACAUGGUGGAAUGUUAGAUAAAAGACUAAGUAACUUCAUUUGUUUAAGAAUUAAGGAAUC
rnacentral:lncRNA from 1 species